rnacentral:rRNA from 1 species
UACGUAGGGUGCGAGCGUUAAUCGGAAUACUGGGCGUAAAGCGUGCGCAGGCGGUGAUGUAAGACAGAUGUGAAAUCCCCGGGCUCAACCUGGGAACUGCAUUUGUGACUGCAUCGCUAGAGUACGGCAGAGGGGGAUGGAAUUCCGCGUGUAGCAGUGAAAUGCGUAGAUAUGCGGAGGAACACCGAUGGCGAAGGCAAUCCCCUGGGCCUGUACUGACGCUCAUGCACGAAAGCGUGGGGAGCAACAGG